UACGUAGGGCGCAAGCGUUUGUCCGGAAUUAUUGGGCGUAAAGAGCUCGUAGGCGGCUUGUCACGUCGAUUGUGAAAGCCCGAGGCUUAACCUCGGGUCUGCAGUCGAUACGGGCUAGCUAGAGUGUGGUAGGGGAGAUCGGAAUUCCUGGUGUAGCGGUGAAAUGCGCAGAUAUCAGGAGGAACACCGGUGGCGAAGGCGGAUCUCUGGGCCAAUUACUGACGCUGGAGGAGCGAAAGCGUGGGGAGCGAACAGG
rnacentral:rRNA from 1 species